AUGGCGACCGGCGCACGGGUGAGUAACACGUAUCCAACCUGCCGAUAACUCGGGGAUAGCCUUUCGAAAGAAAGAUUAAUACCCGAUGGCAUAAUUAGACCGCAUGGUCUUAUUAUUAAAGAAUUUCGGUUAUCGAUGGGGAUGCGUUCCAUUAGGCAGUUGGUGAGGUAAUGGCUCACCAAACCUUCGAUGGAUAGGGGUUCUGAGAGGAAGGUCCCCCACAUUGGAACUGAGACACGGUCCAA
rnacentral:rRNA from 1 species